UUAACUUCCCAAGUUUCCGCCUUCUGCA
rnacentral:piRNA from 1 species